rnacentral:rRNA from 1 species
CUUAAAGGAAUUGACGGGGGCCCGCACAAGCAGCGGAGCAUGUUGCUUAAUUCGAGGCAACGCGAAGAACCUUGCCUGGGUUUGACAUGUAGAGAAAAGCCAUAGAGAUAUGGUGUCCUUCGGGGUUCUACACAGGUGGUGCAUGGUUGUCGUCAGCUCGUGUCGUGAGAUGUUGGGUUAAGUCCCGCAACGAGCGCAACCCUUGUCCUAUGUUGCCAGCACGUUAUGGUGGGGACUCGUAGGAGACUGCCGGGGUCAACUCGGAGGAAGGUGGGGACGACGUCAAAUCAUCAUGCCCCUUAUAUCCAGGGCUGCAAACAUGCUACAAUGGCCGGUACAAAGGGCUGCGAAACCGCGAGGUGGAGCGAAUCCCAGAAAGCCGGUCUCAGUUCGGAUUGGAGUCUGCAACUCGACUCCAUGAAGCUGGAGUUGCUAGCAAUCCCGGAUCAGCAACGCCGGGGUGAAUACGUUCCCGGGCCUUGUACACACCGCCCGUCACACCAUGAAAGUUGGAAACGCCCGAAGCCAGUGGCCGAACCCGCAAGGGACG